UAUUCUUUUCGGCUGUUAUUGACGUCAUACACCUUUAAAAGUGCAUAGAUUAAAACGGAAAAUCUGGAACUUCAAACAUGGUUUUGUUGACUUCUCGCGCGUUAUAUUAAGAUUCUCAAUUCGAAUUCGGUUGCGAAGAUGUGGCUCGAUUUAAGAUACACAAUCCAUCCAUCUUUGAUACCAUCUCGUUGUAUAAUACGAACCCUGAUGUGCUGCAACGCCGGUCCCUAUCCCAUCGAUGCUGCGUUUGAAGAUAGUGGUGGUCAAACAAACUGACAAGCAAAAAGUAUCCUUUCUACAUAAAGAUAAGAUAAAAUAAACUGUCUGCCGCGUGAUUCUGCCUGCGUGUGACUGAUACCUUUUUUGUGUCUAGGAACGGAAAUAGCCUGCGUGCUGAACUCGAUUGCGGGCUAUGAUGGCGGGAUCGUCGGUAACCGCUAGCGUUAUCCCUAAGCUGGCGAGGCAUCGGAGCAGGAUUAAGGUUUUUCCGGGGUCUCCCGCACUCAGUUUAACGCCUUGUUCUAGAUUAAGCAAGUUCUCCAUGGCUCGUUCCCCGUCCAUCUUAGCCCCUCUUUUCUGGUUUUUCUUUCUGCGCAAGCUUUAAACCACCUAUGUGAGUAAGGAAAUCUGCGUGCACAGAACGAUGGUCAAGCAGAGCAAGUGUCUUUCCUAUAUGGACUGCCUCAUCUCUAGGAUGCCAUCAGCAUCGACGUAGUUAAAAGUGGCUGGCGAACUUAAUGAGGAGCAAGCAGGAGACAAUAUUAGUAGGAAAGGGUGAGCUGUUCCCAUUGCAUUGUUGCGUCAUGGUCACUGUUGUCACGGGUUUGUCUAUGCAAUUUAUUCGGACUAUCGAUACCCGUCGCGCUUGUGUUGGACACGCAACCGUUAUGUAUGCUUUUUCUGUGAACGCGUCGGUUGUUGGUUUCUUACGAAAGUAUUUAUAUUUUUCUAGAAAACAAUCGAAGCAGUUUAGAUGUCAACUUUUCACUCUAACCAAAAAACGAAUGGGGACACAAUUAGCGGGGGCUUCAACGGCUGGGGACGUAUGCCUUUUCGUAAACACAUCUGUAUUUACAUCUAAAUAAAAUUUCGCGACCUCCCACAGCGAACGUCCGUGUACACCCCGAACCAUUGGCGCCAGCCACCAUCUCAUGUUAUAGCAGUCCGUUCACCAUAAUUAUUAUGGCGCACUUGUUCGUUUUAACGCAUUUUCGUGUUGCUUAAUCCAUAAUGUUCCAUCAUUUCUAGUAAGAAAUGUUGUAAAGAACCGCCGGCGACACAACGUGUUUCUUCCCACAACGCGCCGAGCCAUUUUCACCAACCCAAUGCUGGUGAUAUUGUUUUUUUACUGGUACAGCGAGAACCUUUGAAAAGCUUCACUUUCUAAAAAAAAAGUAGUUACAAACCCGGAGAAUAAAGAAAUGGAGAACGCCGCUGCGUUGUGGGAACUAGAGAAGGAAACACGGAAUCGGAUAUGUGGAGAACAGGCUUCUUGCGCAUAAUUUACAAUCUGCCACUCUGUCAAAGAGUGGGUCGUAUUCUUCAACAUGUAAUAUUACUUAAACUCGAAAUUAGAUGAAUUAAAACUGAGCUUAGACAAUAACGAUAUCUAUAUAUCAAUACAAAUGUCUGAUUUGUCCAACAUUUAUUCCGUGAUUUGGUAUCGCGAUCUCAUGUCAUGCAUAGAUAAAUUAGAACAACAGUUUGCAUCAGCCUCAAUCAGGCUCAAUAGAACCUAUUUUUUUUCAUUUCCACCACAUUGGGCUAAACAGGAACAGGAAACUGCAACAUCCAGCUCAGAAAUCUAUAGCAGAAAACACAUGGCUUUUAUGGAGGCUUUCUAUUUUGCCUGUAUAUUAUUCAUUGACACAAAUCUUCUAAGUGUUGUCCUCUAAACUAAGUAACAGUGGUCAACCUUUACUUUUACCGUAGUCCACCACUAAAGAUAUAAAAUUCUUCGUUACGUAUCUGGACAUAUUGAUCAUCAAAUGAUUAUUUCGAAAAUGGUUGGUAGGUUAUUGACAGUUUGAGUUGUUAUACGCAGUAAUGGCUUAAACGUUACGGCCAUUUCUAAAUUAUUGCUGUUACCUAAGUUUUUAUUGUGAACUGCGAACUUAAAUAUUCAUAUCCACUAUAGAAAUAAAUCCCAGGUAAGUAACAAGAUAGCAAUACUAACACUGCAGAGUGAUUACUCGCAAUUAUUCCUCUGGCUUUAAACUUUUCUAAGACUAUUAUAUUUGUUAGUUCAGUAACGAUUUUAUCAUUGAUACAGAAAUGUUUGUUAGGGGAAAUAACACAGUUUCAACGAAGCCAUAGUUUCAGGGACGCACUAUAAAAUAUAUGAACAGUAUUUAGAUCCCUUCGCAGCAAUUUUUUCUUCUUGACAAAAUCAGCCGAAUUACACCGGCGUGUCAAAGGGAAAAUCCCUUUCCACUCAUGAAUUGCGGUCUUUGUCCAGGCUAUGUUUACAACUAACAAUACAAUCACGUAUCACUAAAUACAAUAAAAAAAAAGUUUGCUUUCGUGAAUACCCGCUGAGGUUUGUUGAACAAAUUCUCUCUCAACGGCAGCGUUCCUCGGUAGACUUAUGUCGUUGUCAUCGAACAUAGCUGCAUGCCAAGACUAUAAUAACCAUAUUCUAGGCCUCAGCUGAAGAUAGAACCCAUCGUUUCUUUUCGCAUCCUAAAAGCUUUCCGAGGAAGCGAGUUGAACGUAAAUAGAGAUUGUGAAGGAGUAAAAGCUGUACGUUUCACUAAAUAAUGAGAUACGCUAUUGUGUAAAAUUUUUCCAUGCUUUUUGUCUGCCUGCAGUGCGAGAGGUAAACAAGCGUUCGUUGAUCAAUGCCAUUCACUGUGGAUCGUGUUUAUCGAGUGCAUCUCGUAAUUUUUUACGAGGAUAUCCCAAUGUUCUCUAUGAGAACUGGAGUUUCACCUACGGUUGACGCCUAUACCCAGU